GCGCUCGCUUCGACAGCACAUAGGCUAAAAUUGGAACCAUACAGAGAAUAUUAGCAUGGUCCCUGGGCAAGAAUGACAUGCGAAUUCGUGAAGCGUUCCGUACAUUA
rnacentral:snRNA from 1 species